UGGGAUAGCUCAGUGGGUAAAAGCAUGAGACUCUUAAUCUCAGGGUUGCGGGUUUGAGCCCCACAUUGCACAA